rnacentral:sRNA from 20 species
GUCAACGACCCCCGACUAGAAGUCGGGGGCUUGCAGGAACAAUUCUGCAAGCCUCAAGUUGACCAGACUCAGUCUUUUCGAAAGGCUACGUUACCGUAGAAAGCUACAACAGGUACGACAGUGUGCUUCUCCAGCCUUGCCCGCUACG